rnacentral:rRNA from 1 species
ACGGGGGGGGCAAGCGUUGUUCGGAAUUACUGGGCGUAAAGGGCUCGUAGGCGGCCAACUAAGUCAUACGUGAAAUCCCUCGGCUUAACCGGGGAACUGCGUCUGAUACUGGAUGGCUUGAGAUUGGGAGAGGGAUGCGGAAUUCCAGGUGUAGCGGUGAAAUGCGUAGAUAUCUGGAGGAACACCGGUGGCGAAGGCGGCAUCCUGGACCAACACUGACGCUGAGGAGCGAAAGCCAGGGGAGCAAACGGG